UUUUUCCUGAAGUGAGAAGAGCACAAAAGGAUCUGAUGCUCACCUGAACACAGAUCUCUACAGAAUAUAAUAGAGGAGUUGACAUUUUCUGUACCUACAUCAACUAUUUACUAAUCUACAUUUAUAACAAUCAUUUCCAGUAUUCCCGUAGGCCUACAUAGAGCAAACUAAAGACAGAAAGUAGAAAAAUAGAAGUUCUUUUAAUGAUUAACGACCAACACUAUGAGGCGAACGAGCCUGACAGCCUGUAAUUCACAGACCAUUAACGCAGAAUAAUCAUUACUGGUUAGUUUAACCCUUCCGCUCUCCUUGGCUUAUUUACAUUAAAAGUGGAGUCAUCUGGACCCCAAAGAUAACGGAAGGGUUAAACAUCAACACGUUACAGACCACCUUCACCCUCGUGACCCCUCCCUCUCAGAAGGUCAAGUGAAAGCAGCGUUCCUCCCCAGCAAAGAUCGGGUCAUUCCUUUACCUGAAGCAGAUCCGUUUGAGCUUUGAUUCCCGCGCGGUCGUCAAACCAGUUUGAUCGACAAUUAGAAAUGAAUCUCCGUUGACACCGGAGCGCAACAGGACGCCCCUCCCUCCCAGCCUGAGAGCUCACCUCACAUGGGUAUGGCAAGCAAAAGAGGUCAUUGAUCGCCAGGAAACGCUCCGUAAAAAGCGGCGUAUUGACCACCGGGCCGGAUCUCGCCAGGCCUUGUUGGGGGCGUAAACAAAAAAUCUUGGGGGGCAAAUUUAGGUAUAAUGAGUGGUUGGGGUGUAAAAUCCUCCCCAAACCCUAAAAUGCACAAAACAAACAAACAAGAAAAAAAAAAAUAAUUUGUUAACUGCUAUACCCUUGUCUCCUGUGAUCCACUUGAUUUGUCUUAAAUGUUUUAUAUAGGAUGCCAUUCCUGACAUACCCUCUGAAUUUACCUGGGCUUGCCACUGGCAAAAAUGUGACUGGCUUUUGCCCUGUUGAGGUUACAUUCAUUAAAAUAAAUGUAUUUAGUUUUCA